GCAAGUCGAGCGAGAAAGUUCUUCGGAAUGAGUAGAGCGGCGAACGGGUGAGUAACACGUAAAUAACCUGCCCUUAAGUCUGGGACAACCUUGCUAACGCGAGGCUAAUACCGGAUGUGAACAUUUAGCUUCAUGGCUUUUUGUUUAAAGGUCCUUCGGGAUUGCUUAGGGAUGGAUUUGCGGACCAUUAGUUAGUUGGUGGGGUAAUGGCCUACCAAGACGAUGAUGGUUAGCCGACCUGAGAGGGUGAUC
rnacentral:rRNA from 1 species